AGCCACCUACGGGAGGCAGCAGUGAGGGAUAUUGGUCAAUGGGGGAAACCCUGAACCAGCAACGCCGCGUGAGGGAAGACGGUUUUCGGAUUGUAAACCUCUGUCCUCUGUGAAGAUAAUGACGGUAGCAGAGGAGGAAGCCCCGGCUAACUACGUGCCAGCAGCCGCGGUAAUACGUAGGGAGCAAGCGUUGUCCGGAUUUACUGGGUGUAAAGGGUGCGUAGGCGGCUUGGCAAGUCAGUAGUGAAAUCCAUGGGCUUAACCCAUGAACUGCUAUUGAAACUGUCGAGCUUGAGU
rnacentral:rRNA from 1 species